CCCGUGCUCAUCAUCCACGGCACGGAGGACGAGGUGAUCGACUUCUCGCACGGGCUGGCGCUCUACGAGCGCUGCCCCAAGGCGGUGGAGCCGCUGUGGGUGGAGGGCGCCGGGCACAACGACAUCGAGCUCUACAGCCAGUACCUGGAGCGCCUGCGUCGCUUCAUCUCCCAGGAGCUGCCCAGCCAGCGCGCCUAGCGGCGGCCCCAACCGGCCGGACCUCAGCAAUAAGGCGGCCCCCGGACCUCACCCCGCGCCGGCCCCCACCCAGGGGCUGUGGACGAUGUACAGGCAACAGAGCUACGCACUCCUUUCCUUUUGGAAGCAAGAAGAAAAUACGUGAAAACGGAA
rnacentral:lncRNA from 1 species